rnacentral:rRNA from 1 species
AGUGGGGAAUAUUGCACAAUGGGCGAAAGCCUGAUGCAGCGACGCCGCGUGAGGGAUGACGGCCUUCGGGUUGUAAACCUCUUUCAGCAGGGACGAAGCGAGAGUGACGGUACCUGCAGAAGAAGCGCCGGCCAACUACGUGCCAGCAGCCGCGGUAAGACGUAGGGCGCGAGCGUUGUCCGGAUUUAUUGGGCGUAAAGAGCUCGUAGGCGGCUUGUCGCGUCGACUGUGAAAACCUGCGGCUCAACCGUGUGGUCUGCAGUCGAUACGGGCAGGCUAGAGUUCGGUAGGGGAGACUGGAAUUCCUGGUGUAGCGGUGAAAUGCGCAGAUAUCAGGAGGAACACCGGUGGCGAAGGCGGGUCUCUGGGCCGAUACUGACGCUGAGGAGCGAAAGCGUGGGGAGCGAA